GUGCUAACUUUGGCAUUACAUAUACUAAAUUGGAAUGAUAGAGAGAUUAGCAUGGCCUCUGUGCAAAGAUGGUACACAAAUUUGUAAAAGUAAACUUUAUAUU
rnacentral:snRNA from 1 species